CGUUACUAGCAAACAUGGCUGCUAUGUAUGCUGUUUAUCAUGGACCAGAGGGCCUAAAAACCAUUGCGCAACGUGUCCACGGUCUUGCUGGGGCAUUUGCUGUGGGACUGAAAAAACUUGGAAACAUUGAAGUCCAAGGUAUUCCCUUCUUUGAUACUGUGAAGGUUACAUGUGCUGAUGCCCACGCUAUUGCUGAUGCUGCUUACAAGAGUGAGAUUAAUUUGCGAGUUGUAGAUGCCAAAACUGUGAGUCUGAUUCCAUUUAUGAUUUUAUUUGGUCAAAUAUUAUUAUAUAUCACGAGAUUACCGGGACUUCGGUUGCUUUUCAGAUCACUGUUUCAUUUGAUGAAACAACUACCUUGGAUGACUUGGACAAGCUUUUCAAAGUAUUUGCUGGUGGCAAACCAGUGAGUGCUAAUAAUCUUUUCUAUAGUUAUAAUGUUCACACUUAUUUUUUGCCUAUUGACUUAGAAUCACCCUGAAUCUCAACUUUCAGGUCUCAUUCACUGCUGCAUCUCUUGCACCAGAGGUUGGGAAUGCAAUUCCUUCUGGGCUAUUAAGACAGAGUUCAUAUCUUACCCACCAAAUAUUUAACACGUACGGAACUUUCAUGAAACGACGACCUACUUGUAGCUUACAAAUCAAAUGUGCCACUCUCACUAUUAUUUGUUAUCUUUUCAGGUAUCACACAGAACAUGAGUUGCUUCGGUACCUUCACAAGUUACAAUCAAAGGAUCUCUCAUUGUGUCAUAGUAUGAUUCCAUUGGGAUCUUGUACGAUGAAACUAAAUGCGACAACUGAAAUGAUGCCCGUGACAUGGCCUGGUUUCACUGACAUCCACCCUUUUGCCCCUUCUGAAC
rnacentral:lncRNA from 1 species